UACGUAGGGUGCAAGCAUUAAUCGGAAUUAUUGGGCGUAAAGGGCGCGUAGGCGGAGAUGUAAGUCAGAUGUGAAAUCCCGGGGGUCAACCCCGGAACAGCAUUUGAAACUGCCUAUCUAGAGGGUAGGCGGAGAAAACGGAAUUCCACAAGUAGCGGUGAAAUGCGUAGAUAUGUGGAAGCACACCAGUGGAGAAGGCGGUUUUCUGGCUUAUACCUGACGCUAAAGCGUGAAAGCAAGGGGAUCAAGCAGG
rnacentral:rRNA from 1 species